AUUUACCUGACAUUUUUCGAGACUUGUGGUAACACCAGAGAGCAAAUUCCUGCAACAUCUCAUGGACUUCCAUGCUUCUUUGAUAGCAUCAAUACAACCUGUCUGCUGAGCCCAACAAGCCUCAUAUCUGCAAGGCCCAUUGGGAGAGACCGAAACCUAAGGCUGAGAUUUUGUGCAUAGGUCUUGUUUAUAGGCCCUUGUCUUUCUUCUCCAUUUAGUAACCAAGACUGAAUGAGGCUUUUCAUGAGGGACCCUCUAAUGAUCUCCUUGUUGCCCCUGAUCCAAGCCAAUCUCAGAAUCUUUGACUAUGUCAUUUAACUGCAACUUCAUUAUCCCGAGAUUCCUCCGCAUAUGAUGCACCA